UGAGCAAUCUGCCCUUCUCAUCGGAAUAAGCGUUGGAAACGACGUCUAAUGCCGAAUACGACCUCCUUUCGCAUGAUCGGAGGUGGAAAGCUCCGGCGGAGAAGGAUGAGCUCGCGGCCUAUCAGCUUGUUGGUGAGGUAAUGGCUCACCAAGGCAUUGACGGGUAGCCGGCCUGAGAGGGUGACCGGCCACACUGGGACUGAGACACGGCCCAGACUCUACGGGAGG
rnacentral:rRNA from 1 species